rnacentral:lncRNA from 1 species
UCUCAACUAUUCAGUCAUCUAGAAAGACAUUGCCAUGCUGCUUUACAUUUCUAAAAGAAUGUUAGGAGGCCUGGAAGUCUUUGGGAACAGACUUCAUAAUUUUGCUGGUAAGAAUUUGGCAAGAUCGCAGUGUGCCACAUAGCAUGUUUAGGCAUCUUUCAUGUCAUAGAAUCAAACCUCAAUGGACCAGGGAAUUCCUGUGUUCAGAGCUAAUGGUUUUGCUGCUGCUGUUGCAGGAAUCAUCUUGCCAGGGGAAAUGCCACUCUCCUAAUUAAACCUCUGGGGUUUCAGAAUUAACUCUCAUCACCACUGUCAAGAUACAGUACAGAUUAUUUUAGUGUGGCGCUCAAGACUAUAUCAAAGCUAUAUCUCAUUUCACCUGAAAACUAAGAAAAAGAUACUAGUGAGCCAUGGAGAUAAACAUAAUGUGAGUAGUUAACUCGGUCAUAAAAAAUGGUGUUUUUAGCCUUAGCUGAUUAGGACUCCUUCUCUAGCACUUACCUCCUUUAUAUCAUUUUUACGUCUCUAAGAAAUGUAAGAAAUAAACAUGAUCGUUGAAAGAGUUGGGACGAGAGAGGCCGCAAGAUGGGGGAUAGGCUUUGGAAAGGUAAAUCAUUUGCAGGAUUCACAUUGCUUUUAAAGGGUACAGUUGAGAAUGGAAUCAAAGAUUUCUUAAUUCAAACACUGUUUUCUCUAUAACCUCUUUCCUGCUAAAAAGGAGGUGAAUUUGAAGGCAUAUCUGUGUAUCAAGUCAGAAAAAGCAUGGGUGGGGGGCAGUAAUCACCACAGAAGUCACUUCUAGGGCUUAAUUUUCAGGUUUCUUCUUUGUUCUAGGCAGCAAAUAGCCAAUAAACGGUACUGAGAAUAGAACUUCAUUUAACCUAGGUGUUCAUCACACCACAAUUGUAUUGAAGCAGGUCAAAGGAAAAAUUAACAAGUAGUUUAACAUGAAGAAGUGAAUACUAUUUGAUCAUGGCUGUUCAGACUUAAUGAAUAACAGAGACUGGGUUUUGAGUUGAUAAUAUGUAAGGUUCUCACAUUAACAUUCUCUUAAAAAGGGACAACUGGAAUUGUCUUAUUUUUUAAAUCGUUGCUUAACAGUUGGUAUCUUUCCUAGGCUGGCAGUGGAGUUGGUUGAAUAAUCUUGACAGUGAGCAGCUGGCGUCCUGGGGAUUUCAUUCUGGGGUUUUUAUUUUUAAUCUUUCCUUGAUGCUCCCACACCAGCCUUUUUAUUGUGUCCUUGCCGUUUAUUUCAUUACUGUUCUGUAAGGCGUUACCAUUCACUACAGAGUAUUUUUAGGCACAGACUUUAUAAUUUGGCAUUGAACCCAAUUAAAUUCCUUUUUACAACAUAAUCUUCCUAGACUUCUUGCCUAUUUAAAAAAAAUUGUUGCAAUAAAUUACUGAAACUGGGACAUCUGCCCAAGCGACUCCUAUAAAAGUUUAAAGUUGUUGAAGUUCAAGACACUUAAAAUUCUCCUGACCUGUGUAUAAGUAAUAAGCAAAGUAAUGUAUAAAAACAUUUCUUUUGUAAUAAAGUAAUUAUAUGAAAAAGGAAAGCUGCAAAAAUUGCUUACUGAAUCUUACUGGAUGACUAGCAAUGAACAAAAACUGUUUAUUUGAAGUGAUAAUUUGUACUGAAAUUGUAAAAAACACCUAUUAAAUGUUUUGUCUUUUUUUUUUUUUUUAAAGAAAAUGUUUGGCUUUGUUCUUUUCAGAUAUGAGGAGAAGCUUGGGAUAUCUUCAGCCAGCGUUUUAUUCUGGCUGAAAUGUGAUUAUUAGUUAUUCCUCCGAGUUUCUGUUUCUUUUCUCAACCAUCAAACUAAGUUGAAGCAGCAUAAAAGUAAUAGCUUGGUUAAGAAUUUACAAGUUGAAUGCUGCUGGCCGGGCUUACUGCCAGAACAUUAAUAACUUUAUGCUGUAAUAUUGAGAGAUGCUAAGAUUCAUGUUCUAUAGGAUCUUAUAGGAUCUUCUAUAGGAUCAGAUUGCUGAAGUGAUUUGAGUCCAUUAUUGCAUGGAGACAGGCGAAAGGAGUCUUCCGGUUCUGUCUAGGUUUGUUUUUAG